rnacentral:rRNA from 1 species
UACACUCCUGCGGGAGGCAGCAGUGGGGAAUAUUGCACAAUGGGCGCAAGCCUGAUGCAGCCAUGCCGCGUGUAUGAAGAAGGCCUUCGGGUUGUAAAGUACUUUCAGCGGGGAGGAAGGCGAUAAGGUUAAUAACCUUGUCGAUUGACGUUACCCGCAGAAGAAGCACCGGCUAACUCCGUGCCAGCAGCCGCGGUAAUACGGAGGGUGCAAGCGUUAAUCGGAAUUACUGGGCGUAAAGCGCACGCAGGCGGUCUGUCAAGUCGGAUGUGAAAUCCCCGGGCUCAACCUGGGAACUGCAUUCGAAACUGGCAGGCUAGAGUCUUGUAGAGGGGGGUAGAAUUCCAGGUGUAGCGGUGAAAUGCGUAGAGAUCUGGAGGAAUACCGGUGGCGAAGGCGGCCCCCUGGACAAAGACUGACGCUCAGGUGCGAAAGCGUGGGGAGCAAACAGGAUUAGAAACCCGGGUAGUCCCAUGAU